AUUGAACGCUGGCGGCAGGCCUAACACAUGCAAGUCGAGCGGAUGAAGGGAGCUUGCUCCUGGAUUCAGCGGCGGACGGGUGAGUAAUGCCUAAGAAUCUGCCUGGUAGUGGGGGAUAACGUCCGGAAACGGGCGCUAAUACCGCAUACGUCCUGAGGGAGAAAGUGGGGGAUCUUCGGUCCUCACGCUAUCAGAUGAGCCUAGGUCGGAUUAGCUAGUUGGUGGGGUAAAGGCCUACCAAGGCGACGAUCCGUAACUGGUCUGAGAGGAUGAUCAGUCACACUGGAACUGAGACACGGUCCAGACUCCUACGGGAGGCAGCAGUGGGGAAUAUUGGACAAUGGGCGAAAGCCUGAUCCAGCCAUGCCGCGUGUGUGAAGAAGGUCUUCGGAUUGUAAAGCACUUUAAGUUGGGAGGAAGGGCAGUAAGUUAAUACCUUGCUGUUUUGACGUUACCAACAGAAUAAGCACCGGCUAACUUCGUG
rnacentral:rRNA from 1 species